rnacentral:rRNA from 1 species
GGACCCGCACAAGUAGUGGAGCAUGUGGUUUAAUUCGAUGAUACGCGAGGAACCUUACCAGGGCUUAAAUGUAGUAUGACCGGCUUGGAAACAGGCCUUCUCUUCGGAGCAGAUUACAAGGUGCUGCAUGGUUGUCGUCAGCUCGUGCCGUGAGGUGUUAGGUUAAGUCCUGCAACGAGCGCAACCCCUAUUCUUAGUUGCCAGCGGUUCGGCCGGGGACUCUAAGAAGACUGCCAGCGCAAGCUGAGAGGAAGGUGGGGAUGACGUCAAAUCAUCACGGCCCUUACGUCCUGGGCUACACACGUGCUACAAUGGUAGAGACAGAGGGCAGCCACCUGGUGACAGGGAGCGAAUCCCAAAAAGUGCGUCGUAGUCCGGAUUGGAGUCUGCAACUCGACUCCAUGAAGUCGGAAUCGCUAGUAAUCG